rnacentral:tRNA from 2 species
GGGUCGUUAGCUCAGUUGGUAGAGCAGUUGACUUUUAAUCAAUUGGUCGCAGGUUCGAAUCCUGCACGACCCCC